rnacentral:rRNA from 1 species
UUGGAGGGCAAGUCUGGUGCCAGCAGCCGCGGUAAUUCCAGCUCCAAUAGCGUAUAUUAAAGUUGCUGCAGUUAAAAAGCUCGUAGUUGAAUUUCGGGACCAAUAUGUCGGUCGUGCCUCGGUACGUACUGGCAUCGUUGGUUUCUCCCUUCUGACGAACCAUGGUGUCAUUUAUUUGGUGUCGUGGGGAAUCAGGACUGUUACUUUGAAAAAAUUAGAGUGUUUAAAGCAGGCUCACGCUUGAAUACAUUAGCAUGGAAUAAUGAAAUAGGACGUUUGAUUCUAUUUUGUUGGUUUCUAGGAUCGACGUAAUGAUUAAUAGGGAUAGUUGGGGGCAUUAGUAUUCAAUUGUCAGAGGUGAAAUUCUUGGAUUUAUUGAAGACUAACUACUGCGAAAGCAUUUGCCAAGGAUGUUUUCAUUAAUCAAGAACGAAAGUUAGGGGAUCGAAGACGAUCAGAUACCGUCGUAGUCUUAACCAUAAACUAUGCCGACUAGGGAUCGGAUGAUGUUAAUUUUUUAAUGACUCAUUCGGCGCCUUACGGGAAAC